rnacentral:rRNA from 1 species
AUUGAACGCUGGCGGCAUGCUUUACACAUGCAAGUCGAACGGCAGCACGGACUUCGGUCUGGUGGCGAGUGGCGAACGGGUGAGUAAUACAUCGGAACGUACCCAGUAAUGGGGGAUAACUAUCCGAAAGGAUAGCUAAUACCGCAUACGCCCUACGGGGGAAAGAGGGGGAUCGCAAGACCUCUUGUUAUUGGAGCGGCCGAUGGCUGAUUAGCUAGUUGGUAGGGUAAAGGCCUACCAAGGCAACGAUCAGUAGCGGGUCGUAGAGGACGAUCCGCCACACUGGAACUGAGACACGGUCCAGACUCCUACAGGAGGCAGCAGUGGGGAAUCUUGGACAAUGGGCGCAAGCCUGAUCCAGCAAUGCCGCGUGCGUGAAGAAGGCAUUCGGGUUGUAAAGCGCUUUUGUCAGGGAGCAAAUCCUCUAGGUUAAUACCCCGGGGGGAUGACGGUACCUGAAGAAUAAGCACCGGCUAACUACGUGCCAGCCGCCGCUGUAACAC